CCAUCACUGACCCGUCUCUCAGCAUUUAUGCUCUUGUAUAGGCUCCUCCCUUGAGUGUAGACGGGAUCUAGGACUUGUUUCCAGCCAACAGACUAUAGCAAAGGUGAAGGAAUUCUGCACAUGGAAUCCAGGCUCCAAAUCAGUUGGGUUAUAAAGUUCAUUGAAAGAGUCUCCUAAGUGGACCUCACUUCAUCAGGCAGAAGCUCAGGAAAGAGACACUCCUGCUGGCCUUGAAGAAGCAGGCUGCUGUAAUGUGAACAGCUUAUGCAGGGGCCAUGUGGCAGGGGACCAAGAGGGAUUUCAAAGGGCUGGGGGCCACCGUCCUACUUCUGCCCCCACCCUGAGGGCUUGAAGGACUCCGAGCUCCAGGUGAGAAGCUGAGAGGGGACCCAGCUAUGCAGACAGACUCCCGACCCAUAGAAACUCUGAGAUAACAAAUGUUUUGAUUUAAACCACUAUGUUUGUGGAGUUCCCAUUGUGGUGCAGCAGAAACGAACCUCAGGAGAAUCCAUGAGGAUGCGGGGAUCAAACCCUCGUCCGCAUGGAUCCUAGUCAGGUUCAUUAACCACUGAGCUACAACAGGAACUCCAAGUCCAUGUGAUUUAUGUGUCAGUGUAUCUGCUCUCUAUCAGCUGUUUCUCAGCUUUUUUUUUUUUUCAUUAUCACUCCUCCUAAGGAGACUUUAUAGGUAUUUUUUCCCUCCACUAACCCCCCACAAAAAUUUAAUAUCACAGAUAUACUACCUGUGUAUGUAGCUGUGUGUAUUUGUGCUUUAUAUAUAGGAAGAGUAAGAUCUUUCGCCCCACAAGAACCAAUUUUAUCCCCUUUAGGGCAAUAUCGCCCCCACUGAGAAUCCAUGUAUCUACACACACACACACACACACACACACACACACCCCAUGCAAGAGGGGGGCCUCCCCACCAAUCACAGCCAAACCAGAGAGCAGCCCUGGUCCAAUGGCUCUUGUAGGAAAGAGACACCAGCAAUUAGAAAACCCGGGAGCUGCAGACAGUUCUGAGUUCACUGAGCAUGACCUGGCUGCCAAAUCCUCAGAGGUGGGAUUUCGAUAGGCCACACAAUCAUCUAAUUGUUUCUAAAAAGAAAAUAUCUGAAAUUCUAACUUUUGCAUUGCCAUUGCCAGUUAUGAUGCUCGCAACCUUAUUUUAAAGCAAGUGAACAAGACACACUUUGGACAAAAAAGAACCAUCAGCAUAUGUAUCAUCUUAUAGAUCUCGUCACCAGCGGAGGCAAGAUUUUAUUGAACAACCAUCAAUCAAUCGGUCUCUGAAAAACUCAUUAAGUAUCUAUCCAAUGUUUAGCUCAGGACAAAGACUUGCAGAGUGUGUGUAAGCUAAGGUCCAUGUCUCCGCCUUCAAGUGUCUUAGAGCCCAGUUUUGCUGUAACUUAAACCAGAUAUAAUAUCUGAGGAGUGAGGAGGCUCUCGGGAAUUGUAAUCUAUUGCCACUCAGUGAAAAGGCUUUAUUUUGGCGGUAUUUACAGGGGUGAGGAGGGAGGAGGAAAAACUCACAGUGUGGGAGUUCCUGCGGUAGCACAGCGGAAACAAAUCCAACUAGUAUCCAUGAGGAUGCGGGUUCCAUCCCUGGCCUCAUUCAGUGGGUCAGGGAUCCAGUCAUGAGCUGCGGUGUAGGUCACAGACAAGCCUCGGAUCCUGUGAUGCUGUGGCUGUGGUGGAGGCUGGCAGCUGCAGCUCCAAUUUGACCCCAGCCUGGGAGCUUCCAUAUGCCAUGGGUGUGGCCCCCCCCAAAAGCAAAAAAACCCAAAAAACCAAAAACCUCACAGUGUGAUCUGCUUGGCUCUCCCCCAGUGAGUCGGAUGUCUCUGUGUUCAUGACAAGAACUACAGAGGAUCCUGGAUCUAUACUUUUGUUGGUCUCCAUUAAAAUCACCCCAGAGAAUUUAUUGAAGUUAUCAAAUGCAUCUUUAGUGUUAAAUAUCCUAAUAGGACAGUCUAAGCACUCAAACGCGGUGUUAUAAUUAAAGCCACAGGAUGAAUAAAACGUAAAAGAAGAUUCUGGUGCACAACGUUUUUUUUCUAAGGGAAUACUGAGAAGGGCUCUUGGUAGGAAACCACAGGGCUCACUCUAGCUAAUUAAGGAAAUGGGUUAGAAAGUCCAUUCCCCACCUCGGCCUUGAAGAAGCAGGGCCCCUAAGAAGCAAGUUCCAGGGGUGCAGGGUAGAACAAAGAAGGACAAAUGUCCCCUAUGUGUGUCAAUAUUGAAAUCAGUUGAAAAUACUCUCCAAAAUAUAAAUAUAUGAAGAGCGAGCAAAAGUACUCUUUAUUAUUAAUUUGUUGACAUUCGAAAGAACCGUUUCUGCCAGAUCAUGAUAUCUGAGACUGCUGAAAAAGAAGGCCUUGAAUUUGAGGAAAUAAGACAUACACACGCACGUGCACACGCACACACACGCACAGAUAGACAGACACACACAUAAACACAUAUAAAUAAAAACUGGCCAAUGUGAAAGUUAAUCAAAACAAGUCAACAGUAGCCAGAGACCAUAAGUGGAUUCCAUGAAUUUAUAUAGUUUGAAUUGAGGCCAGGAUCCAGCGGCCCCAGGAAUGUGGUUCCAUCUAUUUCAUAGUUGAAAAAUUCCCCAGCGAGGCCAAGUGUCUUGGUCAAGGGCCCGGAGGAGUCAAGGGUAUAAACCACUCCAAGUGUUUACUGAUAGGAAUGUGGGCUUAUAAGACAACAUUCUCCUUUCUUGGGAAAUCUACCUCGUGGAGCCCUUGUACAAGGCCUCACAGAGUGGCUUGCCUGUUUGAAACAUUUCCCAGUCUCGCCUGGUGUGCAAAAUUGCUUAGGAACUGCAGUCUUUGUCGUAUUUUGACGCGGCGACGUUCCUGGGCAGAUCCCAUAGCACCUCCUCAUUGCCAGGUGGCCAUGUCCCAGCACACAGAUGUCAGGGCACCGCCCCGAGAGGCAGCACGCGGCUUGGCGGAAGGCAGGCCAGGUGGUCAAUGUCAAGGGGACCAUUUAACAGAACAACCUCCCAAGUUGCCCCAAGCGCUGAGCGAGAGAGAAAAAGCACCCUGGUAGGAGAGGGAUGCGUUCUGUUCACCCACAUGAGGACUCGAGUCCAUAACCGCAGAAACCAUUUCCUGGGUCUGGUCAUACAGCCAAGAGCCUCAGCUUCUGUGACUAUUUCAUCACAUGCAGAAUAGGAAUACGACUGAUUUGGAUUCACAUAGGAAUAUUCUACAAGAAGUUCAGAAUGCUUCCUCUUGCCACUCCACCCUGGUGGCCAGAACACAGGGCCUCGUGGAAAGGACGGUGACAGGUGAGUAUGACCACCUCCACCGAAGGCAGCCCCUCCAACCUUGGCACCGCCCCAGAGUCAGUUCAUUUCCUUGUCAGGUGGACACCUAGGUUAGGGCUCCGCCCGCCACCUGUUUUGUAAAUAAAGCUUCCUUAGAGCCCAUCCUGUAGGGACUGUCCUUGGCUGCUCUCUUGCUGCAGCAGCAGAGCCGGGCAGCUAUGCUGGAAACUGCAUAGACUUCAAGACCAAAAGCAUUUACCAUGUGACCCUUUACAGCAAAAGCUUGCUGACCUCAAUCUAGGUUACGGGAGCUCCAAGACCCCUCACCAAGUAGAUUUAGUGAACUGCUUAAGAACCUCCCACCAGGCUUCCCAAAGUCAGCACACAGUCGAAUCCAUCCAAGAACCAACUCUGGGGCUAAAACGGACUUCAAACCCCAUUUCAUCCAAUCUUCUUAUUUCAGAAAUGAAGAAGCCCAAAUGGCCAGUCCAAAAUCACAGAGUGGCAGGAAGCAGAAGCAAACAUCAAAUUUCCUCAACUCUGGAGUUCCCUCUGUGGCACAGCGG
rnacentral:lncRNA from 1 species